rnacentral:rRNA from 1 species
GGGCCCGCACAAGCGGUGGAGUAUGUGGUUUAAUUCGAUGCAACGCGAAGAACCUUACCAGGGCUUAAAUGUAGAGCGACAGAGGUGGAAACACCUCCUUCUUCGGACGGUCUACAAGGUGCUGCAUGGUUGUCGUCAGCUCGUGCUGUGAAGUGUCGGGUUAAGUCCCAUAACGAGCGCAACCCCUAUUUCUAGUUGCCAGCGGUUCGGCCGGGGACUCUAGAGAAACUGCCAGCGUAAGCUGUGAGGAAGGUGGGGAUGACGUCAAAUCAUCACGGCCCUUACGUCCUGGGCCACACACGUGCUACAAUGGUGGAGACAGAGAGUUGCCAACCCGCGAGGGUGAGCUAAUCUUCAAACUCCAUCUCAGUUCGGAUCGAAGUCUGCAACUCGACUUCGUGAAGUUGGAAUCGCUAG